AAACUGUUUUGGUAGCUGCAGUUUGCUUGUCUGAAAUCCCUUCAGAAGCUUGAGUGCAAAGCAAGCACAGUACUAGUGAUGGAUGUGAAUGGAUAUCUUAAGGAUAACAGUGGAUAUGGUGUCUUCAGAAACGGUGGCAUUAUGAUAGUGGAAGAGGAAGCAUGGAGAAUGCCUGGUAGAUGAACUCCUGUGAGGUCUGUGACCAGACAGAUGAUACUUCAGAGGCCUGAUACAAAGUGCACAAGUAAAACCUGCUUUAAGACAGUUUCUGGAAAGAUUAAGAAGGUGUACUUAUGUUGAUUUGUCUGGCUACAUGCUGAUCUCAGAAGACACAACUCUGGUAGUAGGGGGAAGAACAGUAUUGUACUCCUGGAUAACAGCAAGAAUGACAGCCCUGAUGAACUGUGGAUCAGACUGAAGACUGUUACGUCCUUCUGAGAUGACACAGGAAAGUCACAGAACAACAGGAAAGCAUCGUUGUCCUGCUGUACAAUCGAGAGAACAGCCACUCAGAAGCAAAGCCACGGUUGUUAUUUGGGUCCUCCUGCAUUUUAACCUCGUGCCUCCAGCUCCCUUUCUCCCGCAAAAACCCAAAGCCUCCGUUAUAAUCAGAUGCUUCGUAUUUCUGCGCACAAGGCCUAAGGUGUUUCAGUUUGGGCUCCCAAAUGAGGAACACAGCGUCGGUGGCCAUCUGCCAAGGUGUUUGGUCUGACUCGCUCCUUCUUCGCAGAAAGCCUAUGGCAAAGGCAGAGGCAGAACUGAAUGUUCCUGUGUGGCGUUCAACUGCCUUAACCACAUGCCCAUUGCUCUCUUCCUGCAGUUGUCUGUCUGCUUCUCUGCACAACUUCGAGAGCAAACACAUAUAGGAACCUAUAAAUAAUCUAAUUUGAUGCACAACCCUGAUUCAUUUCCUGAGCAGCGUGUGUCCCGCACACGCAGGGCGGCCGCGGUCCUGUGGAAAACUUGAGCAGAAUGGAUGAGGCCAAGUUAAUACCAUUAAGCAUUUAAACUUUGCAAUGAAAUAUUAUUCUAAUGGAGCUUAUUAUAGCUGUAGCUUGGAGUAUUUUUAACAGGGGAUGAGGAAAAAAAAAAAAACGCUUUUAUUUAUAGUCGUAACUGUUUUCCUGUCUAACAUUUGAAUGUGAAUAUUCAGCUCGGUGAAAUGCAGAGCAUCAACCAGGAGGAGGAGGCAGCUGGUCUCCUUUGGGAGGAAGGGGAGAAAGAGUUCUGGGUUGCAAACACCAUGGGCAGUAACUCUAUUUUUCCCUUGAGUCUCGGGGCCAGGCUGUGGAGAGUUUACCGUAACUUUUGGUUUUUCUUUAGCAUUCCCAGCACAAGAAAUGAUCUCUUCUGGAGUUUCUUGGUGCAAUAUAUGUUGGGGGUGUUUAGUGUGUUGCUAUAAUCCAUCUGUUAUUAGCAUAAAAUAAAUUUUUUAAAAAGGUGAUUUUUCUAUCCA
ensembl:lncRNA